AGCGAACGCUGGCGGCAGGCCUAACACAUGCAAGUCGAGCGCCGUAGCAAUACGGAGCGGCAGACGGGAGAGUAACACGUGGGAACGUGCCCUUUGGUUCGGAACAACCCAGGGAAACUUGGGCUAAUACUGGAUAAGCCCUUACGGGGAAAGAUUUAUCGCCGAAGGAUCGGCCCGCGUCUGAUUAGCUAGUUGGUGGGGUAAUGGCCCACCAAGGCGACGAUCAGUAGCUGGUCUGAGAGGAUGAUCAGCCUCACUGGGACUGAGACACGGCCCAGACUCCUACGGGAGGCAGCAGUGGGGAAUAUUGGACAAUGGGCGCAAGCCUGAUCCAGCCAUGCCGCGUGGGUGAUGAAGGCCCUAGGGUUGUAAAGCCCUUUCGGCGGGGAAGAUAAUGACGGUACCCGCAGAAGAAGCCCCGGCUAACUUCGUGCCAGCCGCCGCCGUAAGAC
rnacentral:rRNA from 1 species